rnacentral:tRNA from 1 species
AACCGAAUAGCUUAGUUGAUGAAGCGUGAGACUCUUAAUCUCAGGGUAGUGGGUUCAAGCCCCACAUUGGACA